rnacentral:rRNA from 1 species
AACGAACGCUGGCGGCAUGCCUAACACAUGCAAGUCGAACGAGACCUUCGGGUCUAGUGGCGCACGGGUGCGUAACGCGUGGGAACCUGCCCUUAGGUUCGGAAUAACUCCCCGAAAGGGGUGCUAAUACCGGAUAAUGUCUUCGGACCAAAGAUUUAUCGCCUUUGGAUGGGCCCGCGUUGGAUUAGCUAGUUGGUAGGGUAAAAGCCUACCAAGGCGACGAUCCAUAGCUGGUCUGAGAGGAUGAUCAGCCACACUGGGACUGAGACACGGCCCAGACUCCUACGGGAGGCAGCAGUGGGGAAUAUUAGACAAUGGGCGAAAGCCUGAUCCAGCAAUGCCGCGUGAGUGAUGAAGGCCUUAGGGUUGUAAAGCUCUUUUACACGGGAUGAUAAUGACAGUACCGGGAGAAUAAGCUCCGGCUAACUCCGUG